CUACGGGUUGCAGCAGUGAGGAAUAUUGCACAAUGGGGGGGACCCUGAUGCAGCAACGCCGCGUGCAGGAUGACGCAUUUCGGUGUGUAAACUCCUUUUAUAUGUCAAGAAAAUGACGGUAGCAUAUGAAUAAGCACCGGCUAACUCCGUGCCAGCAGCCGCGGUAAUACGGAGGGUGCAAGCGUUACUCGGAAUCACUGGGCGUAAAGGACGCGUAGGCGGGUUGGAAAGUCAGGUGUGAAAUCCUACAGCUUAACUGUAGAACUGCACUUGAAACUUCUAAUCUAGAGUAUGGGAGGGGGAGAUGGAAUUAGUGGUGUAGGGGUAAAAUCCGUAGAUAUCACUAGGAAUACCUAAAGCGAAGGCGAUCUCCUGGAACAUUACUGACGCUAAGGCGUGAAAGCGUGGGGAGCAAACAGGAUUAGAUACCCCGGUAGUC
rnacentral:rRNA from 1 species